AAAGAUGAUAAAAAGAACAUUAAAAAUUAAAAAGUAUUUAAUCCAAUUAUAUGACUGAUUCCUCAACUUUCAUUUGGUUAAAUGAUGUGACCAAAAUUAAAAGUUUCAAAUAGAUCCAUACCUUUUACUUAUAUUAGAAAAUAUCUCCUAGAGGUUUGUCUAAGUGUCCUGGCAAUUUUUGUUACAGAGAAAUAAUCAGUAUUUAUAACUCUUAUAGCCUCAUGAAGCUAGCUAGUGACGUAAAUUACCGUACUUAGACAACGACAGAGUGUUCCGGAUUCUAACGGACUUGGCUUGACUGGAUUGUUUUCUUAGCUUUCUUAUACUUGAGAAACAAAAGUAUGAGGGAGAAAGUGAAUGCGGCUAAUCCCAAGAUAGUAAGAUAUUUUCAAAUAUCUACAUUUGAUGGUUUAUAUCGCUAACCCAUGUGGGUGGCGAGCUGAUAAGGACCCCAUUAUAAUUAGCAAAGAAGACUUUUAAGUUUUAUCCUAUGUUUAACUAAUUAUGUU
rnacentral:sRNA from 1 species